rnacentral:misc_RNA from 1 species
AACAAAACAGGAAGAGAGAAACUUCUCUACUUCUCUCUCAUUAUGGACUGUGAUUUAUCUCCUUAUUCUUUUUCUCGAAUUCUCAGCUCCUCUUCUCAGAUUUCUUCUCUUAUGUUCCGGCAGAUGGCGUCAUCUUUCCAGCAAAUUCGUCAGAUUCCUGCUCUCUGAUUUUUAUCUGUUUUUCUUUUGCCUCAAGGUUUUUGAAUCUGCAAAAAGGUAGGACACUACGUCAUUCUGGUGUCCAUUGGACAUUGAACUUUAAGCGUAGCAAUGGGGCAUCUAUCCUCCAUGUUCAAUGGGUUAGCAAGGUCAUUUUCAAUAAGAAAAGGGAAGAGUAUUGGGAAUGGUGAUGGAAGGGAAGCUGCAGAAGCAAUGGCAAAAGAAGCAAAGAAGAACGACUUGAUAUUGCGAUCUUCUGGCUUUGUAAGUGUUGAUGGUUCAAAGAAUUUUGCAUCAGUUUUCUCGAAGAGAGGUGAGAAAGGAGUGAACCAGGAUAGCUUCAUUGUGUGGGAGGAAUUUGGAUGCCAAGAAGACAUGAUGUUUUGUGGGAUUUUUGAUGGCCAUGGUCCCUGGGGCCAUUUCGUUGCAAAGAAAGUCCGAGAAUGGAUGCCGU